CCUGAUCCGACACAGUGCAAUGAAAUCUAAAAAUCUCAAUUGUUCUCUCGAUGGUUAUCAUAUACUCUACACAAAUUAAAAAACUAAGCAGUCAAAUCUUUCUAUAUAAUACCAACAAGCAAAUUUUAUCUCAGAACUUUAUGUUCUGCUUCAAAAUUGCAUUUUGUUGUACGAGAUUUUACUCUUCGUAAUAUUUUGGUAAAAAUUGUGAUGAAUGAGGCUGUUAACUCAACUUAAAAGAGUUCUUUAAUCUAGAUUUAACUAAUAAGUCGUAAAAUUGGUUCUAUUUCAGAUCAUUUUACGUCAGUUUGCCAAAUGAUUUUCAGAGAAAGUAUCAAGCAAAUUAUGUAGAAGCACUGUGGGGACUGGAACGAAUUACCGCGAAAGCGCGAAAAUUUGAUGUCGUCAUUCAAAAGUAAAUCGAAGUAAAAUGAUAAUUGAUCGGGUAUAAAGAUGAAUUCUGGAACCAUUAUUGCAUACUUUUUUGUUCAAUACUGGACAACAUUGGUAACAUCAACUGUUUCGUAUUGGAGAUAUGAAUUAGGGUAAUUUUCACUUUGCUUUUUAUAGGUAAACCUCUCUACCUAUGUAAUUUCAAACUAUGAAUUUGACAAAAUUUUGGAAACAUUACCCCCUAAACCCUAAACCCAUCAACAUUUCCCUGUAAAUUGCAAAAUAGAGUGCAGCUGCUUCUUCACCUGAACAUAGUUCGAGGGAGAACAGCUAAGCUAGGAAGAUGGGGAUAGCUAUGAAGUUAAUUUUUAUUACUAGGCUGUUGAGGAGGGGCUUAGGCUCUUUGCAACGUCAAAAUAAACUCUAGCAAGCCUAUUGCAGCCUUUUGAAAUAGAUUGGAAUAAUAAUAAAGCUCUUUACAAUAAAGCAAGUGAAUAAAUUGGCAUUUAAGAUAUUUUUCGGUGAGUGCUUUUAAAGGCAAUAGCUUCAUUAUCAAAUAUGCUUAUAAUAGAACUCAAAUAUAAAUUCUCUAAUAUAAUUUUUACUCUCCAUUGCAAAGGAGUGCCAUUUUAUAAUUUGUAACUUUUCAGUUCGAUAUUGAAUGUACAAGACAAGAAUGGGCCAAUGACAAAUUAAGUUGGUACUUCGAAGAACCAUGGUGUGAAGCUUAUAACAAACGUCUACAAAGAACGCAAGCAAGGUGCAACAUGAACGGUGAAUUUGGAUUCGGUGUCGUAAAUGGAACAAGCGGUAAGGAUUACAAGAUUCUGAAGGUUUAUUCCAACAAGAAUUACUUUGGAUGGCAUGCUGUUAGAAAAAUAAACAGGUUUUUCUUUGGUAGUUUACGUAUUCAUAGCUGCAGUUUUUUACAUUUGUAUUCUUACAUUUGUCUCGUGUUUCAAGUUUAUAAUUUCACAUUUAGAGCUCUUCCUCCAUUAUCAUUAUUAUUAUUAUUUUGAGUCAUAUUAAAGCUUUUUGUCUGACACUCUUCAGAUGUUUAUUAGCGAUAUUUAUGAGUAUCCACUUGACGAUUUACCUCUAGUUUGGCAUGGUUUUAGCGUCUUUAUUGCAUCUCUAUCAGCUGAUUAUCAUUGCCUCUGGCUACCAUGUACGAUGGGGCCUUUAAACAUAAAAACUCAGUGGGGGGAUGACCUCUUCGUCCUCAUUUCAUAAACAAUGGCUUGAAUCUCCAACUGACGUAAGAAAAAUAAGGCUUUACAGGAUCACUUGCAAUUUUUCUACAACUUUUUAUCUUAUUUUAGGAGUAGUGAUAACUUGAUUAUCGUUUUACGGCUGAAGAUAACCGAGUCAAACGCAUAUUUCCAAAACAAUUCUUCCAAUUCAUCAGAGGUAAACCAAUUAUAUUUUUAAUAAUCAUGAAUCAAUAUUUAUUGUCAUUUAGUUAGCACAAGUAAACUAUUCUGUUGAUGUGGUUCAUUUCCAAUAACCAACAUUCGAAUCUUCUUUCCUGGCAAUGUAAAAUGAUUGUCGCUGAACUUCCGCAUAAUAAUCAAAGAAAAACAAUAUUUUUCACGAUAAGACUAUUUUAUACCUAGCGAGGUGUAAAUCGAAAUGACAAUUCUAAACGUGGUAAAAUUAUUUCCCAGGUAUAAUUUUAAUGUUCUGCACACCGUAGAUAUUUAGCUAUUGUUAUAAAAUAGAUAUUUUAGAAUUACAAAACUGAUCUCCUUCUCUCGCCAACCGAUCCCUAUUUACUCAAACUUAGUUUUGUUUGUAGAUUUUUCCUAAAUGGCAUUCUUGCUUCGAUAAACCUUUUUAAAAUUAUCGUUUUUCCAAUUAAAAAACAUCAAUCUUGACAUGACGAAAAAAAUGCCAUGGUGCUAUGAAAAAUAUUUAGCCAAUUGCUAAAAUCAUUUAACGACAAAAAGUUAUUAAGAAAACAUAAUGUUUAUAAUAGGACUUACUAUGGCAAGAUUCUUAUUUUUCAUCUAUCCUUGACAGCUUCUAAAUCAACUGACCCACUGUCUUUGAGUAUUUUUAUCACAGCCUUUUGCAAAACCUUUUAGCAUACUAUACGGUUUACAAGAUUGUUCAACUCCAAAGGAGAGACACCUAAAGUUGAAUUCAAACAAAACUUGAAAAGUUCGUUGUUAAGAGAAGUGACAGAUAUUUCAUUCGAUCAUAUAAAUGGGUAUCAACCUAC